UACGUAGGCAGCAAGCGUUGUUUGGAGUUACUGGGCGUAAAGGGUGUGUAGGCGGUUGCUUAAGUUUGGUGUGAAAUCUCCCGGCUCAACUGGGAGGGUGCGCCGAAUACUGAGUGACUCGAGUGCGGGAGAGGAAAGUGGAAUUCCUGGUGUAGCGGUGAAAUGCGUAGAUAUCAGGAGGAACAUCGGUGGUGUAGACGGCUUUCUGGACCGUAACUGACGCUGAGACACGAAAGCGUGGGUAGCAAACAGG
rnacentral:rRNA from 1 species